rnacentral:rRNA from 1 species
UGGGGAAUAUUGCACAAUGGGCGCAAGCCUGAUGCAGCCAUGCCGCGUGUAUGAAGAAGGCCUUCGGGUUGUAAAGUACUUUCAGUCGGGAGGAAGGUGUCAAGGUUAAUAACCUUGGCAAUUGACGUUACCGACAGAAGAAGCACCGGCUAACUCCGUGCCAGCAGCCGCGGUAAUACGGAGGGUGCAAGCGUUAAUCGGAAUUACUGGGCGUAAAGCGCACGCAGGCGGUUUGUUAAGUCAGAUGUGAAAUCCCCGGGCUUAACCCGGGAAUUGCAUCUGAUACUGGUCAGCUAGAGUCUUGUAGAGGGGGGUAGAAUUCCAUGUGUAGCGGUGAAAUGCGUAGAGAUGUGGAGGAAUACCGGUGGCGAAGGCGGCCCCCUGGACAAAGACUGACGCUCAGGUGCGAAAGCGUGGGGAGCAAACAGG